GGGUUGUGAGGUUAAGCGACUAAGCGUACACGGUGGAUGCCCUGGCAGUCAGAGGCGAUGAAGGGCGUGCUAAUCUGCGAUAAGCGCCGGUAAGGUGAUAUGAACCGUUAUAACCGGCGAUACCCGAAUGGGGAAACCCAGUGUGAUUCGUCACACUAUCAUUAACUGAAUCCAUAGGUUAAUGAGGCGAACCGGGGGAACUGAAACAUCUAAGUACCCCGAGGAAAAGAAAUCAACCGAGAUUCCCCCAGUAGCGGCGAGCGAACGGGGAGGAGCCCAGAGCCUGAAUCAGCAUGUGUGUUAGUGGAAGCGUCUGGAAAGGCGCGCGAUACAGGGUGACAGCCCCGUACACAAAAGCGCAUGUGCUGUGAGCUCGAUGAGUAGGGCGGGACACGUGGUAUCCUGUCUGAAUAUGGGGGGACCAUCCUCCAAGGCUAAAUACUCCUGACUGACCGAUAGUGAACCAGUACCGUGAGGGAAAGGCGAAAAGAACCCCGGCGAGGGGAGUGAAAAAGAACCUGAAACCGUGUACGUACAAGCAGUGGGAGCACCCUUUUGGGUGUGACUGCGUACCUUUUGUAUAAUGGGUCAGCGACUUAUAUUCUGUAGCAAGGUUAACCGUAUAGGGGAGCCGGAGGGAAACCGAGUCUUAACCGGGCGUUAAGUUGCAGGGUAUAGACCCGAAACCCGGUGAUCUAGCCAUGGGCAGGUUGAAGGUUGGGUAACACUAACUGGAGGACCGAACCGACUAAUGUUGAAAAAUUAGCGGAUGACCUGUGGCUGGGGGUGAAAGGCCAAUCAAACCGGGAGAUAGCUGGUUCUCCCCGAAAGCUAUUUAGGUAGCGCCUCGUGAAUUCAUCUCCGGGGGUAGAGCACUGUUUCGGCUAGGGGGCCAUCCCGGCUUACCAACCCGAUGCAAACUGCGAAUACCGGAGAAUGUUAUCACGGGAGACACACGGCGGGUGCUAACGUCCGUCGUGAAGAGGGAAACAACCCAGACCGCCAGCUAAGGUCCCAAAGUCAUGGUUAAGUGGGAAACGAUGUGGGAAGGCCCAGACAGCCAGGAUGUUGGCUUAGAAGCAGCCAUCAUUUAAAGAAAGCGUAAUAGCUCACUGGUCGAGUCGGCCUGCGCGGAAGAUGUAACGGGGCUAAACCAUGCACCGAAGCUGCGGCAGCGACGUUUAUGCGUUGUUGGGUAGGGGAGCGUUCUGUAAGCCUGCGAAGGUGGCCUGUGAGGGUUGCUGGAGGUAUCAGAAGUGCGAAUGCUGACAUAAGUAACGAUAAAGCGGGUGAAAAGCCCGCUCGCCGGAAGACCAAGGGUUCCUGUCCAACGUUAAUCGGGGCAGGGUGAGUCGACCCCUAAGGCGAGGCCGAAAGGCGUAGUCGAUGGGAAACGGGUUAAUAUUCCCGUACUUGGUGUUACUGCGAAGGGGGGACGGAGAAGGCUAUGUUGGCCGGGCGACGGUUGUCCCGGUUUAAGCGUGUAGGCUGGUUUUCCAGGCAAAUCCGGAAAAUCAAGGCUGAGGCGUGACGACGAGGCACUACGGUGCUGAAGCAACAAAUGCCCUGCUUCCAGGAAAAGCCUCUAAGCAUCAGGUAACAUCAAAUCGUACCCCAAACCGACACAGGUGGUCAGGUAGAGAAUACCAAGGCGCUUGAGAGAACUCGGGUGAAGGAACUAGGCAAAAUGGUGCCGUAACUUCGGGAGAAGGCACGCUGACACGUAGGUGAAGUGAUUUACUCAUGGAGCUGAAGUCAGUCGAAGAUACCAGCUGGCUGCAACUGUUUAUUAAAAACACAGCACUGUGCAAACACGAAAGUGGACGUAUACGGUGUGACGCCUGCCCGGUGCCGGAAGGUUAAUUGAUGGGGUCAGCGCAAGCGAAGCUCCUGAUCGAAGCCCCGGUAAACGGCGGCCGUAACUAUAACGGUCCUAAGGUAGCGAAAUUCCUUGUCGGGUAAGUUCCGACCUGCACGAAUGGCGUAAUGAUGGCCAGGCUGUCUCCACCCGAGACUCAGUGAAAUUGAACUCGCUGUGAAGAUGCAGUGUACCCGCGGCAAGACGGAAAGACCCCGUGAACCUUUACUAUAGCUUGACACUGAACAUUGAGCCUUGAUGUGUAGGAUAGGUGGGAGGCUUUGAAGUGUGGACGCCAGUCUGCAUGGAGCCGACCUUGAAAUACCACCCUUUAAUGUUUGAUGUUCUAACGUGGACCCGUAAUCCGGGUUGCGGACAGUGUCUGGUGGGUAGUUUGACUGGGGCGGUCUCCUCCUAAAGAGUAACGGAGGAGCACGAAGGUUGGCUAAUCCUGGUCGGACAUCAGGAGGUUAGUGCAAUGGCAUAAGCCAGCUUGACUGCGAGCGUGACGGCGCGAGCAGGUGCGAAAGCAGGUCAUAGUGAUCCGGUGGUUCUGAAUGGAAGGGCCAUCGCUCAACGGAUAAAAGGUACUCCGGGGAUAACAGGCUGAUACCGCCCAAGAGUUCAUAUCGACGGCGGUGUUUGGCACCUCGAUGUCGGCUCAUCACAUCCUGGGGCUGAAGUAGGUCCCAAGGGUAUGGCUGUUCGCCAUUUAAAGUGGUACGCGAGCUGGGUUUAGAACGUCGUGAGACAGUUCGGUCCCUAUCUGCCGUGGGCGCUGGAGAACUGAGGGGGGCUGCUCCUAGUACGAGAGGACCGGAGUGGACGCAUCACUGGUGUUCGGGUUGUCAUGCCAAUGGCACUGCCCGGUAGCUAAAUGCGGAAGAGAUAAGUGCUGAAAGCAUCUAAGCACGAAACUUGCCCCGAGAUGAGUUCUCCCUGAGACUU
rnacentral:rRNA from 1 species